rnacentral:rRNA from 1 species
UAUCUUACGGGGGGCAGCAGUGAGGAAUAUUGGUCAACGGGCGGGAGCCUGAACCAGCCAAGCCGCGUGAGGGAAGAAGGUACAGCGUAUCGUAAACCUCUUUUGUCAGGGAACAAAGGCGGGGACUAGUCCCCGGCUGAGGGUACCUGAAGAAAAAGCAUCGGCUAACUCCGUGCCAGCAGCCGCGGUAAUACGGAGGAUGCGACCGUUAUCCGGACUUAUUGGGUUUAAAGGGUGCGCAGGCGGCCUG